rnacentral:rRNA from 1 species
CGUGUAGGCGGUUACGCAAGUCUGGUGUGAAAUACCUCGGCUCAACCGAGGGGAUGCGCUGGAAACUGUGUGACUAGAGUGAUGGAGGGGGAACUGGAAUUCCUGGUGUAGGGGUGAAAUCUGUAGAUAUCAGGAAGAACACCGGUGGCGAAGGCGAGUUCCUGGCCAUAUACUGACGCUGAGGCGCGAAAGCGUGGGGAGCGAACA